rnacentral:rRNA from 1 species
GGACUACCGGGGUAUCUAAUCCUGUUCGCUCCCCACGCUUUCGCUCCUCAGCGUCAGUUCCGGCCCAGACCACCGCCUUCGCCACCGGUGUUCCUCCUGAUAUCUGCGCAUUUCACCGCUACACCAGGAAUUCCGUGGUCCCCUACCGGACUCUAGCCAUUGCAGUAUCGAGUGGCGGCUCCAGGUUGAGCCUGGAGGUUUCACACCCGACUUGCAAAGCCGCCUACGAGCUCUUUACGCCCAAUGAAUCCGGACAACGCUCGCCCCCUACGUAUUACCGCGGCUGCUGGCAC